rnacentral:rRNA from 1 species
CCUACGGGCGGCUGCAGUGGGGAAUAUUGCACAAUGGGGGAAACCCUGACGCAGCGACGCCGCGUGAGUGAAGAAGUAAUUCGUUAUGUAAAGCUCUAUCAUCAGGGAAGAAAAUGACGGUACCUGAGUAAGAAGCACCGGCUAACUACGUGCCAGCAGCCGCGGUAAUACGUAGGGGGCAAGCGUUAUCCGGAUUUACUGGGUGUAAAGGGAGCGUAGACGGCAGUGCAAGUCAGGAGUGAAAGGCGGGGGCUCAACCCCCGGACUGCUCUUGAAACUGUACGGCUGGAGUGCGGGAGAGGUAAGUGGAAUUCCUGGUGUAGCGGUGAAAUGCGUAGAUAUUAGGAGGAACACCAGUGGCGAAGGCGGCUUACUGGACUGUAACUGACGUUGAGGCUCGAAAGCGUGGGGAGCAAACAGGAUUAGAUACCCUAGUAGUC